GAGAAGCAGCGUGGAGGGACGGGACCUUUACUGCAGGUGCAGCCUCGGGAGUGGGUGGCUGCUGAGCGAUGAAGAUGGACGUUCUUGGAAUUGAGGAAUUCAAGAAAUUCUGAGAGCCAUUCAGAGUUCAAGUAGGAGGCCCUAUGCUUGUUUACCCAGCCGCUGGUCUUUGGAGACCCUUGUGCCUUGGGCGGAGCUCACUCUCAUCAAGGAUGAUGGGCAUAUAAUGUGGACAGGGCCGGGAGGGUAUUCCAACCUCCGACCACUGUGAUUGGUUCAGAUCUGGGCAUGUGACCCAGAUAGGACCAAUCAGAGUCGAUGCACGUAAACUAGGGGAAUAUAAGCUGGUCUUCUUGAACAUGAAUGAGCUGUGAGAGCGAUGGCAGCUUGGGGGCAGUUGUGGGUGUCGGAGGCAUCUUUCUGUCCCCUGGAGCAAGGCCUCAAGGAAGAGGAAGCGGGGGACCGGAAAUGGAGCCCUGGGACUGGCUGAACACCUGGGUCUGUCCGUGCUUAAAGCGAGACGCAUCUGUAGCGGCUUCAUUUAGUGACCCAGUGACCCUUGAUGACCCCCACGUGGCCCGGUCUGUCCCAGGAGAGGUUGGAGUCUUUAUUCACGGUCUCCCCUUGGGGUGCAGGUUUGCAAGCCUCAACACCUUUUCAUAAAUGCAACACCAGGCUCAGUCCUGCGUCAAGCUGGGGACAAAGAGCUGACACCAUUCUGUCUCUCACAGAGCUCAUGUUCUAAGGAGAGAGUCAAACAAAUGGAUACAAAUAUUGAGUCAAACAAAUGGAUACAAAUAUUGCAUCAGGGGCUGGCCUUGUGGCCUGCAACCCAAGUAUCCCAUAUGGGCACCAGUUAAGAGUCUUGGUUGCUCCACCUCCGAUCCAGCUCCCUGAUAAUAUACCUGGGAAAGCAGCAGAAGAUGGCCCAAGUCCUUGGACCCCCCACCCAAGCGAGAGACCCAGGUGGAAUUCCUGGCAGCUGGCUUCGGCCUAGCCAUUGCAGCCAUUUGCUUCCUGCUAAUAUGCUUGGAGGCAGAAGAGGAUGGCCCAAGUACCUGCCCCCCGCCACCACGUGGGAGACCUGGAUUGAAUUCCUAGCUCCUGCCUUCAGCCUGACCCAGCCCAAGCUGUUGACGGCAUAUGGAGGUGUGAACCAAUGGAUGAAAGAUCUCCUCUCUCCCUCUCUCUCCCCCCCGCCCCCUUUCUCUGCU